rnacentral:rRNA from 1 species
CCUACGGGAGGCAGCAGUGGGGAAUAUUGCACAAUGGGGGAAACCCUGAUGCAGCGACGCCGCGUGAGUGAAGAAGUAUUUAGGUAUGUAAAGCUCUAUCAGCAGGGAAGAAAAUGACGGUACCUGAUUAAGCAGCCCCGGCUAACUACGUGCCAGCAGCCGCGGUCAUACGUAGGGGACAAGCGUUAUCCGGAUUUAAUGGGUGUAAAGGGAGCGUAGACGGCAGCACAAGUCUGGAGUGAAAUGCCGGGGCUUAACCCCGGAACUGCUUUGGAAACUGUGCAGCUAGAGUGCAGGAGAGGUAAGUGGAAUGCCUAGUGUAGCGGUGAAAUGCGUAGAUAUUAGGAGGAACACCAGUGGCGAAGGCGGCUUACUGGACUGUAACUGACGUUGAGGCUCGAAAGCGUGGGGAGCAAACAGGAUUAGAUACCCCUGUAGUC